ACGCACGCUGGCGGCGUGCUUCACACAUGCAAGUCGAACGGAAAGGCCCUGCUUUUGUGGGGUGCUCGAGUGGCGAACGGGUGAGUAACACGUGAGUAACCUGCCCUUGACUUUGGGAUAACUUCAGGAAACUGGGGCUAAUACCGGAUAGGAGCUCCUGCUGCAUGGUGGGGGUUGGAAAGUUUCGGCGGUUGGGGAUGGACUCGCGGCUUAUCAGCUUGUUGGUGGGGUAGUGGCUUACCAAGGCUUUGACGGGUAGCCGGCCUGAGAGGGUGACCGGCCACAUUGGGACUGAGAUACGGUCCAGACUCCUACGGGAGGCAGCAGUGGGGAAUAUUGCACAAUGGGCGGAAGCCUGAUGCAGCAACGCCGCGUGCGGGAUGACGGCCUUCGGGUUGUAAACCGCUUUCGCCUGUGACGAAGCGUGAGUGACGGUAAUGGGUAAAGAAGCACCGGCUAACUACGUG
rnacentral:rRNA from 1 species